UGGGUGACCUACCUUUCAGUGAGGAAUACCGGCGAGAAAUCGCCGACAAGACCGCAUAGGCUCCUUUCGCUGGUACGAGAGGAGCAAAGUCUCGCAAGGGAUGCUGGAAGAUGGGCCUGUGGCCGAUUAGCUAGUUGGGGAGGUAAGAGCUUCCCAAGGCGACGAUCGGUAGCUGGUCUGAGAGGACGGACAGCCACACUGGGAUUGAGAACGGCCCAG
rnacentral:rRNA from 1 species